rnacentral:rRNA from 1 species
UACGUAGGGGGCAAGCGUUGUCCGGAAUCAUUGGGCGUAAAGAGCGUGUAGGCGGCCCGAUAAGUCCGCUGUGAAAGUCCAGGGCUCAACCCUGGAAUGCCGGUGGAUACUGUCGGGCUCGAGUCCGGAAGAGGAGAAUGGAAUUCCUGGUGUAGCGGUGAAAUGCGCAGAUAUCAGGAAGAACACCCGUGGCGAAGGCGGUUCUCUGGGACGGUACUGACGCUGAGACGCGAAAGCGUGGGGAGCAAACAGG